rnacentral:snRNA from 1 species
GUGCUCGCUUCGGCAGCCCAUAUACUAAAAUUGGAAUGAUACAGAGAAAGUUAGCAUGGCCCCUGCGCAAGGAUGACACGCAAAUUCAUGAAGCAUUCCAUAUUUUU